rnacentral:tRNA from 1 species
GAGGGUAUAGCUCAGUGGUAGAGCAUGUGCUUAGCAUGCACAAGGUCCUGGGUUCAAUCCCCAGUACUUCCA